rnacentral:rRNA from 1 species
AGCGAACGCUGGCGGCAUGCCUUACACAUGCAAGUCGAACGGUAACAGGUCUUCGGAUGCUGACGAGUGGCGAACGGGUGAGUAAUAUAUCGGAACGUACCCAGGAGUGGGGGAUAACGUAGCGAAAGUUACGCUAAUACCGCAUACGAUCUAUGGAGGAAAGCAGGGGACCUUCGGGCCUGGUGCUCCUGGAGCGGCCGAUAUCUGAUUAGCUAGUUGGUGAGGUAAAGGCUCACCAAGGCGACGAUCAGUAGCUGGUCUGAGAGGACGACCAGCCACACUGGAACUGAGACACGGUCCAGACUCCUACGGGAGGCAGCAGUGGGGAAUUUUGGACAAUGGGCGCAAGCCUGAUCCAGCAAUGCCGCGUGAGUGAAGAAGGCCUUCGGGUUGUAAAGCUCUUUUGUCAGGGAAGAAACGGGAGUGGCUAAUAUCCAACCCUAAUGACGGUACCUGAAGAAUAAGCACCGGCUAACUACGUGCCAGCCGCCGCUGUAA